AAGCCAUUGCCUUUUGAUGAGUCCGCGUCCCAUUAGCUAGUUGGUAGGGUAAGAGCCUACCAAGGCGACGAUGGGUAGCUGGUCUGAGAGGAUGAUCAGCCACACUGGAACUGGAACACGGUCCAGACUCCUACGGGAGGCAGCAGUGGGGAAUAUUGGGCAAUGGGGGCAACCCUGACCCAGCAACGCCGUGUGAGGGAAGAAGGUUUUCGGAUCGUAAACCUCUGUCAGGAGGGAAGAAGUGCAUGCCAAGUAAUAUGUGGUAUGUUUGACGGUACCUCCAAAGGAAGCACCGGCUAACUCCGUGCCAGCAGCCGCGGUAAUACGGAGGGUGCGAGCGUUAUUCGGAAUUACUGGGCGUAAAGCGCGCGUAGGCGGCGCGGCAAGUCAGAUGUGAAAGCCCCGGGCUCAACCUGGGAAUUGCAGUUGAAACUGCCGUGCUUGAGUGAGGUAGAGGGUGGCGGAAUUCCCGGUGUAGGAGUGAAAUCCGUAGAUAUCGGGAGGAACACCAGUGGCGAAGGCGGCCACCUGGGCCUUUACUGACGCUGAGGUGCGAAAGCGUGGGUAGCAAACAGGAUUAGAUACCCUGGUAGUCCACGCUGUAAACGAUGGAUACUAGGUGCUGGGAGAGAAUUUCGGUGCCGUAGCUAACGCGUUAAGUAUCCCGCCUGGGGAGUACGAUCGCAAGGUUGAAACUCAAAGAAAUUGACGGGGGCCCGCACAAGCGGUGGAGUAUGUGGUUUAAUUCGAUGCAACGCGAAGAACCUUACCUGGACUUGACAUCCUGCGAAUCCUGUAGAGAUACGGGAGUGCCCUUCGGGGAGCGCAGAGACAGGUGCUGCAUGGCUGUCGUCAGCUCGUGCCGUGAGGUGUUGGGUUAAGUCCUGCAACGAGCGCAAC
rnacentral:rRNA from 1 species